UGAAGUAAAAAUGGCAACACCGCGGGAGUCUGGUCUGAAUAUAUCAACACCUAGCCUACUCUAUCUGCCUCCCGGACGGCUGAACUUUGAUUCCAGGGACAUAAAAUUAUUGCCCUUUUUUCUUGCUCUUUAGUAGUUUUUGACACGUAGAAUCCAUAAAUGUAGGUCGUAACUUUAGGAAAUUAGCGGUUCAAAAGUUAUGAGUAUGUAAAGUUUCACGUUUUUAGGGUAUUUUACACGCUACUUUGACGCCAUGUUGCUUCCAUCUAUUAUUUGAUUGGCCCGCAUAGAUGAGCAUUCGGCGGCCAUUUUGGCGGGAUAAAUCAAAUGUUUCAUUUGAAUUUGUUUUCCACGAUAAUGAUUUCGCCGACCGCCUGUGCGAGUAUUUAUGGCAUCGAUUUUGCCGCAAAAACAAAGUCGAUAUGAUGGAAUCAUUAAUGGAGGCAAUUAAGAAACAAUAUAUUUUUAAAUAAGGUUGGUAGUAUGAUACAUAGGAACUUUGAAAGCUCAUCUAUGCGGGCCAAUCAAAUAAUAGAUGGAAGCAACAUGGCGUCAAAGUAGCGUGUAAAAUACCCUAAAAACGCGAACUUUACAUACUCAUAACUUUUGAACCGCUAAUUUCCUAAAGUUACGACCUACAUUUAUGGAUUUUACGUGUCAAAAACUAUUAAAGAGCAAAAAAAAA